UGGGGAAUAUUGCACAAUGGGCGCAAGCCUGAUGCAGCCAUGCCGCGUGUAUGAAGAAGGCCUUCGGGUUGUAAAGUACUUUCAGCGGGGAGGAAGGGAGUAAAGUUAAUACCUUUGCUCAUUGACGUUACCCGCAGAAGAAGCACCGGCUAACUCCGUGCCAGCAGCCGCGGUAAUACGGAGGGUGCAAGCGUUAAUCGGAAUUACUGGGCGUAAAGCGCACGCAGGCGGUUUGUUAAGUCAGAUGUGAAAUCCUCGGGCUCAACCUGGGAGCUGCAUCUGAUACUGGCAAGCUUGAGUCUCGUAGAGGGGGGUAGAAUUCCAGGUGUAGCGGUGAAAUGCGUAGAGAUCUGGAGGAAUACCGGUGGCGAAGGCGGCCCCCUGGACGAAGACUGACGCUCAGGUGCGAAAGCGUGGGGAGCAAACAGG
rnacentral:rRNA from 1 species